GAGUGGCGAACUGGUGAGUAACACGUGGGAAACCUGCCCAGAAGCGGGGGAUAACACCUGGAAACAGAUGCUAAUACCGCAUAACAACUUGGACCGCAUGGUCCGAGCUUGAAAGAUGGCUUCGGCUAUCACUUUUGGAUGGUCCCGCGGCGUAUUAGCUAGAUGGUGGGGUAACGGCUCACCAUGGCAAUGAUACGUAGCCGACCUGAGAGGGUAAUCGGCCACAUUGGGACUGAGACACGGCCCAAACUCCUACGGGAGGCAGCAGUAGGGAAUCUUCCACAAUGGACGAAAGUCUGAUGGAGCAACGCCGCGUGAGUGAAGAAGGGUUUCGGCUCGUAAAACUCUGUUGUUAAAGAAGAACAUAUCUGAGAGUAACUGUUCAGGUAUUGACGGUAUUUAACCAGAAAGCCACGGCUAACUACGUGCCAGCAGCCGCGGUAAUACGUAGGUGGCAAGCGUUGUCCGGAUUUAUUGGGCGUAAAGCGAGCGCAGGCGGUUUUUUAAGUCUGAUGUGAAAGCCUUCGGCUCAACCGAAGAAGUGCAUCGGAAACUGGGAAACUUGAGUGCAGAAGAGGACAGUGGAACUCCAUGUGUAGCGGUGAAAUGCGUAGAUAUAUGGAAGAACACCAGUGGCGAAGGCGGCUGUCUGGUCUGUAACUGACGCUGAGGCUCGAAAGUAUGGGUAGCAAACAGGAUUAGAUACCCUGGUAGUCCAUACCGUAAACGAUGAAUGCUAAGUGUUGGAGGGUUUCCGCCCUUCAGUGCUGCAGCUAACGCAUUAAGCAUUCCGCCUGGGGAGUACGGCCGCAAGGCUGAAACUCAAAGGAAUUGACGGGGGCCCGCACAAGCGGUGGAGCAUGUGGUUUAAUUCGAAGCUACGCGAAGAACCUUACCAGGUCUUGACAUACUAUGCAAAUCUAAGAGAUUAGACGUUCCCUUCGGGGACAUGGAUACAGGUGGUGCAUGGUUGUCGUCAGCUCGUGUCGUGAGAUGUUGGGUUAAGUCCCGCAACGAGCGCAACCCUUAUUAUCAGUUGCCAGCAUUAAGUUGGGCACUCUGGUGAGACUGCCGGUGACAAACCGGAGGAAGGUGGGGAUGACGUCAAAUCAUCAUGCCCCUUAUGACCUGGGCUACACACGUGCUACAAUGGAUGGUACAACGAGUUGCGAACUCGCGAGAGUAAGCUAAUCUCUUAAAGCCAUUCUCAGUUCGGAUUGUAGGCUGCAACUCGCCUACAUGAAGUCGGAAUCGCUAGUAAUCGCGGAUCAGCAUGCCGCGGUGAAUACGUUCCCGGGCCUUGUACACACCGCCCGUCACACCAUGAGAGUUUGUAACACCCAAAGUCGGU
rnacentral:rRNA from 1 species